GCCAACUUGUCUCAAAUAUGCUUCCAGACACUGCAAUGUUAGAAGUAGAUUCGAUGAAGAUGGAAAUCAAUUUCAACACUCUAGUGUCUCAACUAUGUUGUUCACUUGAAACUCGUGGAAUUGCAAAAGAAUCUGUAGUUGCUUGCUUGAUGGGCCUUAGCUCUCUAAAGAAGGUAUUUUGUGGAGGAAAUCAAUGUGUUUUUAGAGCUCAAAGAAAUAAUCUAGAUCAAUGCUCAACUAUCCCAGAAGUUUGGCGAAUUAUUGGUGACUAUUUUUCCUUCUUCGACUAUGAUAUUAUUGAGCAGAUAACAAGCCGAUUAGGAACGGACGAGGAUAAAGACAAUAUGAAACUUUACAAAACCAAUUUUGUUAGGUAUGCUAGGAGGCGACUAGUGAAAGGAAAUAUUAGUUCAGGCUCUGGAGAAAAUCUGAUUGUAAAGCUUGAUUCUACUUACGAUGAAUGUGAAGUGAGUCGACUGAAGCUAUUCGAGUGGAAUCUAUGCUCAAUCUUGCAUUUAAAUAAAGGUGUUUUAAAGCUUUGUAAAAUUGAUGAUGGCUGUGUCGAGCUCACAUUUUCAUUACCGAUCCAGUUCAUAACAAGUGAUAUCUUUCCGCUAAAAGCUGAUCAAGAACAUGCUCUGAAGAGUCAAGGAGUCAUCGACCUACGCUGUGGGAAUACUCAUUAUAAAGCUGAGGGCCUGAAGGGUGAAGCUGGCAAUGCGUUGCUUUCAGCACACUUCAUGGUGACUAAGUCAGAGCAGUUUGGACUGAGAAGGCCUCCCCUGUCUGUUACCAUAAAAAGUAUUCUUGAGAGGUACCCUGAUGGACAAAUCUUCAAGGAGAUGAUCCAGAAUGCCGAUGAUGCUGGAGCUACAACAGUGUGGUUCUAUGUUGAUGAGAGACAGCAUAGCACUUCCAACCUCCCUCAUCCUGACUUAGCCUUGUUCCAGGGCCCAGCUCUGAUAGCUACCAAUGAUGCCUGCUUUACAGAAGAGGACUGGGAGGGAAUACAGAGCUUGCAGCAGAGUAUCAAGGCCGAGGACCCCUUCAAAGCUGGAAGGUUUGGGAUUGGAUUCAACUCUGUCUAUCAUCUCACAGACAUGCCAAUGAUUGUCAGUGGCAAUCGCUUAGCUUGUUUUGAACCGCAAGAAAAAGUGUGGAAAGGUGAAGCUGGGCAGGCAUUCAGUCUGGCUAACCUUAUUGACCAGUCAUCUGACUUCAUCACCCCACUCAGUGGUUUGGCAGGUUUCGACAAAAACUCAGCCCGGUAUUCGCAAACUAUCUUUCGACUGCCAUUACGCACAAAAGCAUCCAGUCUCUCGGACAAAAUAUACAACAUUCAAAAGUUACAAGAGCUCCUUGAUGCUCUUAGAGAGGAGGCAAAGUAUUUGCUUUUGUUUCUGAAGUCAGUAUGCAAGAUCCAAGUAGUGCACAUCUCACAGAGUGGUCAGCACAGCACAUCCUUCUGUGUGGAAAUAGCUCCAGCUUGUCUAGCAUCAGUUAAUUCCAAGCGUGAAUUGUUCAUGCAGCAACUUCGGCAAGCUCAUUCUCAACAACCAUACUCAAUUUCCCAAGUAUUUUUUUUUACAGCUACCUUUUCUGUAAUUUUGACUGACAACAAUCAUAGGAAGAACCAAGCUGGCCAGAGCAAUUGGGUGAUAGCUAAAAGCGUCGGAUCAGGGAACUCUACAGUACAAGCAGCUGCAGCCAAACAGCGUACAUUUCCUUGGGUCGGUACAGUUUUGGAGCUAGGUACUAGUUCUGUUGGGGGUCGGAUAUUUUGUUUCCUUCCCAUGCCAAUAGAGGUUACGUCGAUCUGGACUACCGGUUCAUGUUAAUGGAACAUUUGGGCUAAACGACGAGCGACGUACUUUAAAGUGGCCGGGAAUUGAGAGAAGAAAUGAUCCUACAGCAAAUUGGAACAAGAUUCUUGUUAGUCAGCUCCUCCCACCUUGUUAUGCUAUGCUUCUAGUAGAGGCUAAAAAAUAUAUUUCUCAUGAUCAGUUCUACAAUGCCUGGCCUGAUGUGAAUACUGUAAACAACCAGUUUUCUGAGAUUCUCCGUCCUUUGUUCAGUGCGUUGUUUCAGCAAGCAGUUGUUUAUACUGAGAAGAUCGACACAAUUCCAGUUGUUGGGAACUGGAUUGUCAUCUCUCAAGCAACCUUUAUCAGUGAAAGCAGCAAGCUUCCCUCCAUUAUGAAACGAGUUCUCGCUGAUUGUGCUGUACAACUAGUCACAGUCCCUUCAAGAAUAUGGAGAGCAAUGUGUCACACUAAAGUCGGUGUCACAGAGAUGUCUCCAAUGCUAGCUCGCUCCAAAUUUCGCAACUACCCUUAAUGUUAUUCUAGCAUUGACCCUAUUGGCAAGAUGGUAAUUUUAACAUACUGUCUUUCCGACAGUUGCUACAACGAUCUAAGAGGAUUGAAUCUUCUGCCCUUAGCAAAUGGUAGCUUCACUAACUUUGAUGCAACUUCCGAACAGCAGACAGUUUUCCUUUGCUCAGAUGAUUGUCCACGAUCCUUGCUUCCUAACUUGGACCACUUACUUGUCGACGUAUCAGAUGAUACAAAGCUUCAACAAAGUCUAUAUUCUGUGGCUGCUAGUCAACAGACAAAGCUCCGGCUCCUCACUGAGAGAGAGGUUGCUCAUCUCCUUCCUCAGGCUCUACCUUCAAGCAGAAACAGUCUGGUGUCCAUUCCCCACUCUCAGAUUCCCUCCACUUGGCUUCAGACGUUCUGGAAUUGGUUGCAUAAAAAAAAUCUACAACAUUUUGUUUGUCAGCUUGUGGUUCCUUGCUACAUCUCUACCUCCAGCUCAAAAAUAAAUUUUCACCUUGCUCCUCUUCAUAGUGCACACGCUGUUAUUUAUGUCGACACGUCUUGCUCUGGAAAUUUGCUCUCUGCUCUCUACAAAAUGAAAAUCAAGGUUUGUCUACGAAGUGAAUUUAGCUAUGUAUACCAUAGGCAACUUUCAUCAAACAUAAAGAUUUUUGACACAAACAACUUAUUGGAUGCUAUAGCAUCAACAUCAAAUUACAUAGGAGUUGCUUUCACAGCUCAGGAAGCUGAUAGCAUGAGAGUGUUUCUCCUAUCUAGCACUUACACUCCUUCUAUGGUGAGAAAGAAGGUCUUAAAGAACGUUUGCAUCUUUUCAUCUGCUUUAAACUCAUCCGAAGAACUGUUUUCUGUUAACACAGCAGAAUCAAAAUCAGUAACACAGCAGGCAAUAGGAGAACCUAACAGAUGUGCUUUCAAUGUUGCAAACCUGCCUUCAAACCUAAUUAUUCUGUCCCGGGGAAACCAUUAUCAGCUACAGCUAUUGCAAUCUCUAAGCAUUCCAUUUGUAUCUGAUUUCAGACUUCUUGUCAAUCAUGUGUUCCCGCUCAUUAAAAGCAAGUCUUUUCCUGACCACCUCAUUGACAAGCUAAUGCCAGAAGUGUUGGACAUGUUCCAAGUCCUCAACUCCAGAGAGUACAAUAUGGCCAGUUACCUUCAGAGCUUGCAAUUCGUAAAAACAAGUAAUGGACGAAAGACUCCUUCUGAACUAUUCACUCCUUUUGAUACUGAUAUUUUGGCUUUGUAUAGCGGAGAAGAUGUAUUCCCUCAGUCUCCUUACAACACGAAAGGAAGAGUUCAAACUUUACAAACCUGUGGUCUCUGUGUCGCAGUCACCCCACAACGAGUCCUUGACAUUAUCUACUCCAUUAGUUGUUCUUGCAGCUCAAAUCCACAACGUGUUGACAGCUUAAAGCUGAGCCGGGCCAAGGCAGUGCUUAAAUACAUAAGCACAUCUACUUUUUAUAACCAAACUGGUGGAAGGUAUGUAAUAGCUAAUGAUCAUUAUCAAAGCUAUACCUUCUCGACUGCUCUCAAGUAUCUAGCUACCAGCUGGAGCUGGCUCCCAAUUGUCAGUGAUAAGCCGUCUGGUUAUCCUGAAGAGAUUUCAUGGAAAGGACACGGCCUCAACUCACAUUUUAUCUCUCUGAGCAAUUCGAUGGUUUUAUCACCUUCAACUGAAAACACUAUUCCCUGCCUAGUGGGCUCACAGGUCUACAUUGUGUUCCCUGCAGUUGCCGAUCUAAUUGCCAAUAUGUUACCAGCUGACUCUAACAGUCUCUCACAGAAUGUGGUCGCUCACUAUAAAGAGAUACUCUUGCACAAGGAUCAACUCUCUGCUGAUGUUAUGAACUCGCUUGUUCUUCAAGUGUAUGACUACAUGAAUAGUCGAGGUGUCUCCUAUCUUGCUUCGUUGUACUCUAUCACAGAGUGGAUUUAUAUCAAGAAAGAGAGGAAGUUUAUAGCACCAGAUAUAGUAGCUUUUAAGCUAAACUCCACCUUCAAGAGUGAUCUUCAACCGUACAUCUACAUUCUACCCGACAUUCUGUCUCAAUACUCAACACUUUUUGGCUCAGCUUCUAGAGUCGCAACGACUGUUAGUCAAGCCCAGAUCGUUUCCGUUCUCAAAAUGAUCAAGGACGAUGUACAAACUAAUGCUAUUGAUGCUUGGAGUACGAUCAUGAACAUUCUAAACUGGCUCACAAACAAUGGAAAUAAGAAAGUUCCUGACGAAGUCAUGCCAGAAGAUGUUCUGAUACCAGUAGAGACAGAGUCUGAAUUGCCUCAGCUAGUUCAAGCUUCGGAGGUUGUGUACACGGACAAUAAAUUCCUCAAGGAUUACCUGCAAUCGUCAGAAGAAAAGGACUCCUACCAAUUUGUGCAUAACCACAUCUGCUAGCAUGGCACAUAACCUUGGUGCAGUUUCAUUGUCAGAGUUUUUGAAUACUUCUGAGGACACUUUUGAAGAUGCUGGUCAACACGAACCACUCACCACUCGAUUGAAGAAUAUCCUCCGAGAUUACAAAGAUGGACUCACUAUUAUCAAGGAACUACUGCAGAACGCUGAUGAUGCAGAGGCUACGGAAGUGAACAUUUGCUAUGACGCUAGGCAGCAUGAAACAAAUCCAAAGAAACUGUUUUUCUCAGGAAUGGCAGAAGCUCAUGGUCCUGCGUUAAUUGUUCAUAACAACAAGAGUUUUUCUGAAGAUGAUUUUACUAACAUCACAAAACUAGCUGGAGCAACCAAGGCCAACAAAGUGUUAAAGAUUGGCAAGUUUGGAAUCGGUAUUUGUUCUGUGUACCACAUGACAGAUAUACCAUCAUUUGUUAGUCGAGACAAACUAUAUAUUUUUGAUCCAACACUAUCCUACCUAAGAAAAGAGAUAAAGAAUUUUUCUCGGCCAGGUAAGAAAAUUCUUUUCACGAGUAAGUUCAUUGCGAAUUCGCGUCAGCUCUCACCUUAUGAUGGCUUGUUUGGAUUUGAUCGAUCUAAUUACGAAGGGACAAUAUUUAGACUUCCAUUCAGGAUACACCCUAGUGAGCUUAGUUCUACCUGCUAUUCAAAUUCAAUAGUCCAGAACCUUAUAUCUGCCAUUAAGAACAGUAGCUCGACUCUAUUGCUUUUUCUACAGCACGUGAGAACUAUUACAUUCCAAACGAUCAGUCAUGGACAAAACACGCCAGAGAUUUUGUUGAAAAUCACUCGAGAGCGUAUUGAAGCACCAAUUCAACUCCAUGCUGGUACAGAGAUUAGAGAACUAACUUGCUUCGAUUCUCUCUCUAAUGAAUCAAACAGCUGUCAUUGGCUCAUAUCACAAGAAAGUGAGACUGAUGAUUACUCCCAACAAUACUUCACUGCAUCAGUCUCUUGUCCACUGGGCACUCCUGGUAGCUACAGUGUGGAUGCAGAAUUCCAAGGAGAGAUAUUUUGUUUCCUACCCCUCUCUCAGAAGACUGGCCUACCAGUACAUUUAAGUAGCAACUUUGCUGUGAUCAAUAAUCGCAGGGGGAUCUGGACCUCAGACGAAGCCACCUCACUUACAGGCAGUGAAGUCACUUGGAAUGUUUUACUAAUGCAAGGGGUAAUUCCAAGAGCUUAUCAUGCACUUUUGAUAGCAUUGAAAGGAUUGAAAAACAACCGUUAUAUCAAGAGCUAUAAUUUCCAUGUUUUGUGGCCGCAAAAUGAAAAAUUAACCCAGCAUAAUCCAUGGACGUAUAUGAUAUCAAAACUGUUUGCACUGAUUUCAUCUGACCAACUAUUUUACUCGGAAUACCUGAAACAAUGGUUACAUGGCUAUCAAAGUAGAUUUCUUGUUCCUGGAAUCUUGUGUCAAUUAUCUUCAACUCCUAAAUGUGUUAUUGAAGUUGUUAAGUAUCUAAACCAGCCAAUUAUUGAUCUACCCAUCAUAUUCCAUUCUUAUUUCAAUUUAAAAGAAGUUACAAUUGAUGAACCUGCUUUCACUAAACUGUUUUUCCAAAACUUGAGCUCUCUUGAGUCAAUUCUCAGCACUCGCUCUGAAGUCAUUCAGUGCAUGCUUGAGCUGUAUGCAGCUGAGUAUGAUGAUGAAACAGAACGGAGCUACUUGUUAAAUGAUUAUUUCAAGAAUUAUGCCUCCAUACCAUGCACACCGGAUGGAAAAGUCCUCAGAAAAUGCACUGAAGUUGUUGACCGUGAUGCAGACUUUGCCCCCCUGUAUGAUAAGUCUGAUAGCUAUUUUCCUAGUGACGAACUAUCAGAAAGGCAUCUUUCUAGGACAGCAUUACUUAAACUUGGCAUGAUUAGUGAAGCUAUUCCAUAUGAUAUGCUUGUAGAGCGUGCUCGUAGUAUUCCAACUCGGUAUUAUUUCGACAAAACCAAAGCGUUAAAGUGUGCAAAACUUGUUCUGUCAUCAUGCACUAAAUUUGAAGUCUUGCCAAAGUACGCUAAAUCUCAAAGUGUGUCAUACCAAAGAGCCAGCAGUGGGGAGCUAUCCUCCAUUCCGUUUUUACCAGUGCUCCCAAAACCGACAGGAUACCUUCUUCCAUGGAAAGGAGAUGGGCAUGAACUUCUGUGUGAUAAAGACUUGAUGAUUGUAGGCAAUGAUAUGCAUAGAGAAAUCACCGGUAUCAAUCCUAAUCUUGCUGGGUCUCAAGUUGCAUUUUUGAAUGAAGCUAUUGUUGAAAAUGGAGGCUGUGGGUAUAUUAACAAAGACAGUCUUUUCGUGAUGAGCAUACGGAAGUCACCUUCCAUGGAUGAAGAUAUUGCACAACUUGCUGAAAUACAACGAGUUUUUGUAUCUCAACCCCUCACAGAAGAAUUGGUAGAAACCAUUGAUAGAAUGUGCCACCAAGUGUAUGGUUUCCUUGACAAACAACUUGAACCUGAUCUUGAUUCAAAAGAGAGUUCAUCAGAUUAUAUUCAGAAGGAUAUUCAGCACUUGAAAGUAUCAUCUGUAUGGACUGGUAAGCAGUUUGUGAGUAAGGAGGUUGUUGGAAGUGGCUGUACCAUUGAUGGUCCUUAUCUGUACAAAAUACCUGCAAGUAUAUUAUCGAGAAAACGUUUGAUUGAAUCUUUGCAGAUCAAGAAACAAUUUUGCUUGAAAGACAUUGAGAAAGCUCUUAAAGCUAUGAAGAAAGAUUUCAAAGAUCAGCCAGUAGAUGAGCGUUGCCAGAUUGUUUUACAUUUUAUUGUUACUUUACUUCACCAAGUAAAAUUAAACGUAGCCCCCACACUUAUGCUUCCUGAUGAACAUUUCGUUUUACGCGAUUCAAACAAACUGGUCUACAACGACGCACCCUGGUCACCACGGGACCCUAAACAAACUUAUGUACAUGGCAUCAUCCCACUAACUCUGGCAAUUAAGCUGGGUGUGGAGCUAAGAAGAAGCAAAAUACUUGAGAAAUUUGUGGCCACUUCCAGUCAACAUUGUCAAUUUCAGAGUGUUGAAUUUGCCCAGCAUGAGGAACUAACCAGUAGGAUUCAAAACAUCAUAAGAGAUUAUCCGUUGCAUAUUACAAUCCUUAAAGAGCUACUACAGAACACUGAUGAUGCCAAAGCAACUAAAAUGUAUAUAAUUUUGGAUAUGCGGACCCACGGAAAACAAGGAGUAUUAUCACAGAAUUGGGGUAAACUACAAGGCCCAGCUCUUUUGGUGUGGAACGAUAGUGUCUUUGCAGAGAAAGAUAUUUGGGGUAUACAGAAGCUGGGGUUUGGUAGUAAACGCACUAAUUAUGAAAGCAUUGGUCACGGCAACGGUUUCAGUGUAGUUUACCACCUCACUGAUUGCCCUAGCUUCAUCACUGGAGGAGAAACAAUGUGUGUACUGGAUCCACACUGUAAGUAUGUGCCUGGAGCUAAUGUGCUCUCUCCAGGACGAAGAUUUGAUGGUUUGAGUCAGAGAUUCUGGGAAUUGUUUCCUGAUAUGAGCUCCGCUUUUCUGCAGUCUGGCCUUGAAAAUUGCCCUCCUGAGCUUAGUGGUGGCUCUUUAUUUCGAUUUCCUUUGAGACACACAAAAGAACAUUUACUAGACUCAAAAAUUAUCCCUAGACACAAGAAUGGAACUCCUGUUGGUGAACCUAUAACAUCUAGAACCAUGCUUAAAAUGCUAGAAGAAUGGGCACCCAUUGCGAAAGAAGCAAUGCUUUUUCUUAACAAUGUUACAAAACUAAAAUUCAUGGUUAUAGCAGAAAAUGGGAACACUAUAAACAUCACGAAAAUGUAUUGCACUGAAGUAGAAGAAGUAGCACAAAAGAAGCGUCAAGAGCUCCAUAAAGCAAUGUCUAGCUUCAACAAGAAGAAAGGAAACAAAUCUCUUGUUAUCAGAUACCCAUUAACCAUCAGUGAAGUACAGUGCUCAUCUGGAAAGGAAAUUUCAACUGAAAACAAGUGGUUGAUACAACAAGGAUUAGGAGAUAUGGAGAAUGAACAACAGACAUGGAGUUUUAUUGAAGCAAUCAAGCCUAGGCACGGGAUUGCAGCUCUAUUAUCACCAUGGAAUUCACUUCCGAAUGAGGAAAAGCUCAAGGGCAAAUUGUUUUGUUUAUUGCCUCUGCCUCUGCCAGUUACAUCAAAACUACCAGUGCAUAUAAACGGACAUUUUAUUUUGAACUCAAUGAGUAGAAAUUUGUGGAGUUCUACCGAGGAGGAGAGAGAAGAUCAUCAGUCUGUUUGGAAUAAUAAACUCUUUCAAGCGAUAUCCUCUUCGUAUGCAAUCCUUCUUGAGCAUUGUCAGUCAUUUUAUGUAUCCACUGAGCCGUACCAGGCAUGGCACAUAGCAAACCAUGAUAUCAGGAAGUACUAUGAGAUUUUUCCACCCACAUAUGAAAUGGACAAACUAUUCAUAAAAUUUGCAGAGAGUGUCUAUGAAAAACUAGUUGCCCGCAACAACAACAUUUUAGCUGUAGUUGAUUACAAGGAAUACCCUGCAAGUCUUGUACCAAUGUCAACAAGAUCAAGGAAUAGUGAGUCAAAGCAAUUGCAAGUAAAUUGGCACCAUCCUAAAAGCAGUGAUCCAUCUACUCAAGUAUACUUCUGGUCUUUUGUUGAUAAACGGGGUGAACUAAGAGCGAUUAUUGAAGACAUCGGCAUGAAGUUGACAGUAGCGGGUAGCUUUAUUCAAGACCAGCUCAACCAAGCCAUAAAAGAGAGUGCUAAUAAAAUCGAAAGGACUAGCCCGCAAACAGUAUUUGAAUACUACUCAAAUUUUUGCUCUCAAACAAGCAACACGGGAAAAUUCCCAUGUGGAAUUAGUGACACUGUUUUCAGAGAUACUUCUACAUUCAAACUUUUCACUGAAUACCUCCUAGGUGCAAGCAAACUAAUUGCAGAUGGGUCCUCAAGGACUAUAACCAGCCCUACUGAGCAGUUGAAAUUCCCAAAAGAACCUUUUGGCCAACCCCUUCUCUUAACAGCUGAUGGUAUAUUGAGAAGAUUCCAUCAACAUACAAAGGUUGUCAAAUCUAACUUUUCUGAUCUUUUUCCUGAUAGUCAAGACUGUUUUCUCCACCCUGUACUGAUCAAAGUUUUGUAUAGCAGCAACUACUUUAUUGUAUGUGUACAUUUAUCAGACAAUGCGUAUAGUCUAACCCUUUUCGACAAGCUUUUAAGCAAUCACUUACCUAACUGCCUCAGAACAAAUCGAGUAAUUCAGUUUCCCCAAAGUCUGCCAAGGAAACUAUUGAUCAGAUACUGGAAUUGUUUUUCAGAGGAUCCAGUUUUUAGUUUCAAUAUGCCUCACAUUUUGAAAGAAUGGGCUCUUCUUCCGAGUAUCACAGGCAGUUUACAUUCCUUCAGUGACACUCUUAUACCAAUCGUUCCCAUUUCUAUGCAGGAGGAUGGGGAAUAUCUUAAAAUUUAUCAGGUCCUACAACACAUCGGCAUACCAGUUUUGGACACAAACGUAGUUGGUUCUGCUUACCUGUCUUGUCCAACUGUAAAAGAUACUGCAGCUAUUCUGAAAAUAUUGUUCCAUUUAAAUCAAGAGAUUGAGAAGGAACUAUCUGUGGUAAUCGACAAAGAAAUGAUUGGUAUUAUCAUUUCCUACCUCAGUAACAUUAACUUCAGAACUGACUUAAACAGCCUUAGCCAUAUAAGGUCUCUUCCUCUAUUUGAGUGUGUUGAUGGCGUUUUCAGAGCAUUACAACGUAAAACUGCAUAUGUUUGGCCAAGCAAUGCUUGUGAGGUGGGAUAUUCUGAAUGGAACAAGUACACUCCAAAUGCUGUCUUCCUGCACGGACGUGGUUCCUGGACAGAUUUUGGCGCUCCAGAGGAACUUGAAGUAAAUGUUGUCACUGCAGAAGAUCUUUACUGCAUCUUUAUCUUCGAAUUUUUCUCCUAUAUCAGCGAGAUGAACAGGUAUGAACAUCUAAGAUAUAUUAGAGUCACCUUGCUCGACAAAAAUGUGAUUUACAAGAAAAUCAAAUCCAAGUGUGAAACAGAAAACAUAGCAAGGGCUAAACGAUUUCUUAAAAAAUUAGGUUCACUCCGCUGUAUUGGUAUAGACAAAUUGCUGCCAGUUAACAGCUACUGCAAUCAUGAGAUUGACAUAUUUCUUACUUUCCACAAACACUUUUCAUUUCUCCCUGAAUAUUUCAGGAGCUCUCCAUCAUGGACUGAAUGGCUAGCUUUCUUCAAAGAGCUCGGAUUGAGGUGCACAGUCAAUCACACUGAGUUUCUCGAGUUCUGCAAAGAAAUUGCAGGAGGAAAUCACAAGGACAUUGUAAAAACUUCGACAGUUCUCCUUCAAUAUUUAUCGUCUGACAGUGCUAAGGAAGCAAAAUGGCACAGUGACGAUUAUUUCCUACAUCAAGUGGCAGAGAUACCAUUUGUGCCUACUCAAAUCCAUCCAGAAGUGACAUGGAUCAGUAGCGCAAAAUGUGGAUCAAACAAUAUAGUGAUGAACAGGCGCAUGUGCUCCCUCACCAAACUCAGUGAAGCUGCCAUUACAAACUGUACACCUUUCUUGUGGACUGUAAAGCCGAUAGUUAAUCUUCCUGAAAAUUGGAGUCCGUUGACUUAUAGUGAACACCGCCUAUUAGCAGAUAAACUAGGCAUUACAUGUGAUCCUACAGUUGAUCAUGUAAUCAAAAACAUGCAGAAUUAUUAGUGCUAAGAAACGAUUCAGCAACUUUCAAAACUUUGAUCAAUAUCCAGAUUCCAACAUACCUACUUCUGAUCAAGCCACGUCACUUAUGUCAGUGAUUGUACAAAACCUGACAUUGCUAGAAACGAAACAGGACGAUGUUAACGAUGCUCACAUACAGCUAUUGAGAGAUAUGCAUUGCAUUCCGGUGUAUAGUACAUUCGAGAUGACACACAAGCAUCAUAAUAGUCCUUGUGAAGCCUUGCAGUGUCUUGCAUUACAGUGCAAUUUCAACAGAUAAAUAUCAUCCGUUCCUUCAAAUACUUGAUAGCCAGCUAGAAUGUCUAAAGUUCAUACUUCAGCAGAUUGGAGUCGAGUCUUCAAUUGGUUAUAAUCACAUUCAAUUAGUUCUUCAAAAAGCCUAUGAACUUUCUGCUGGGCAGGUACUAGAACAGAAAACAAGGAAAUGUGUAUUUGCAAUAAUUAAAGAGCUCAUUGAGUUGCUGAGUGUUAAAUCAUCCAGUGUUUUAGUUUCAAAAGGGAGUGAGACCCUCUCUCCUCUGUAUUUACCUAAUGAUAACACAACACUAGUCCUCUCAACACAAUUGCUAUAUGUUGACGCUGACACAUUUUUGGGCAGAUUUCAUUUUGAGGAAACCUGCUAUUCCCUUCUAAAGAUUAGAACAAAAGACAAUAAGAUCCAACUUUUCGAGAGAGAUUUCUGUGAAAUGCUGUCACUCACUGUUCGUCCUAUCGGCUUAUCUAAAGUUUGUAUCUUAAAGGUUCAGCCGGAGUGUGAACCCAUUGACCAUACAGAUGCAGGCAAUGAUUUGAUUAAAACGUUUGAAAUGAACAACAUUCUGCCACAGGCAGUUUCUGCAUGCGUGCGCUAUUACACCAAGGCCAAGCAACCUCUGCAGAAUGUAGAAUCUAUUGUUAGGGAGUUUUUGGCCAGCACAGCAAUACAAACCUUUCGCCAUUUGCGAAUGGUUGUCACUUUUAAAGAGAACCAAAAAUUGAUUGGUAAUUUGGACACAAAGUUUUACUUAGAGACAACAGGAGACACUCCCGACGGAUGCUUAUACCUGGACUCACAGUUGGCCAAGAAUAUUCACCAAGUGGUACGGGCUUUGUGCAACAGAUUAUUUCAGCUAAUUAUAAGUAAACUAAAACAACCACAGCUAAUUACUGAUGAUGUGUGUCCCAAAUUGAAGGAUGUGCUUGUUCAGCUCUUAAGUGUCCAGAAUCCCCAUGAAGUGAAGGAUAUUUUAGAGGUAAAUAGAAUUCCACUGACUGAAGAAAGAAUGAGCGAGGUCACGUUCAAACUGAGUAAAGAAGUUGCAGAGUGCUGGCAUCAUAGACUUGAUCAAGCAGUUGAGAAUGUAUUUCAUCCUGGAGAGAUUGUUGGAUAUGAAGUAAUGGAGAACCUCAUUGUUUACGUCGAGGUUAUGUACCCUAUUUUGCCCAAAGGGUGUGAAAGUUUUGAUGUCAUCCCUCGAAUCAGUAUGAAAUACAAAAUAUUGACACACCAAGAUGAUGAAGAAGGAAUCGAAGUAGGUGUACUUAAGCUCUACAAAUUCCUCAGAGGUUUGAAGAAAGAAAAGAUUCUUGCAGAAGGGACAGAUGUUGUACCAUAUGGGGGUGAAACAGACAUGGACACGAUUAAUUUGCAUCAAGAAGUGCAGAGCAAGAAUCUUAAAAAGAUUGAAGAUGUUCUAUUAUGUCAACUUGAUGAGAUAUGGAAGCUACCAAAAGAAGAGAGAAGGAAAGCUGUUAGACGUCUUUGUCUUAAGUGGCAUCCUGACAAGAACCUCGAUGAUUCAGCUGUGACUGAAGAGGUGUUUAAGUUUCUAAAUUCUGAGAUAUCAAAAAGAGAUGUGGACAAAAAUAUUAACCUGCAAUGGGAGGAUCUCAACAAAACAGUGCAGCGUCAAAGAGAAAGUUACACAAGAGAGCAAGAGUCAUCGUCCCGAUCCCAGGUAGGGGGAGGAGGGAUUAGUAUAGAUACUAUAGUAUCUAUGCAUUGUGCAUCACUUUAUAAUUAUAUUCGCUAUACAAAGACUGUACUGAGUGACUGAAUCAAGGUGAGCCAUUGCUUUUAGAGCCAUGUAGCACUGUUUAUAAUAAUUAUUAUACAUUUCAUCAUUUCACAGUGUCUAUUGUGGAAUUCUGACUGGCAAGUCUAUUGCUACUGAUAUAGAUAUUAUUAUCUUAAUAUCUAUAGGCUCUACAGGAAGGGCCACAGCAAGAAACUGAGUUGACAGAUAGCUUAGUUAGCCUUUUAUCUGUCUAAAUGUGUGAAAUUAUAGUCAAUGAAUAUUCUCAUGCAUUACUAUUGAUAUUUGAAAAAUUGCAUUAUUUUCAUAUUUCACCGCGUUUUGUCUGACUGACUAAGUAAGUAAGUAAGUUAGUAAGUAAGUAAGUAAGUAAGUAACUUUCUUGGAAAGCAUUUCCUCCUUGUACAGACAUGUUCAGAAGAUUCUAGAUACAGCCUCUAGUCGACUAGAACCCGGUGUCAUAAAAUUUUAGGCCC